CUCCACCAGGAAGCGAAGGGGAAGCAUCUGCAGAACAGCCCCAGAACGGAGACCCUGUCAGGUUCGGAGAGGGCAGUUCUCUGAGUCUUCGGUUAUGGGUUGCACAACGGUCUGUGUUAGACAACAUCUCUUCCACCACCACCACCCUUUUGCUCCUUUUUCUUUUCCGUGUCUUCCAUAUUAGGCUGGCUGGCUGGGGCAAGGCUUUCUUCUGGCAGAGAGCAGCCUUUUUCUUGCAGCGCUCGGGAAGCUCACCAGCCUUUAUCCUGGCCAUUGUCCUCACCGGGCAGUGGAACGGAGAAUCUGCUCUCUGUGGGGUCUUCUUUUUUUCCUCCUUUGUAUCAGCCAGUUUUAAUCAGGCUCGGGACGAUCUGGUGCCAAGGGGUGCAGGCCUUCGGUCUCGGGGCAGAGGUCCAGGAGCGUUCUCAUCCACCGGACGGUCCUUCUGCAGCAUUUGGAUAGACGCAGAGGCCUGCCUCCCUCGGGAAGAGCUUUUACCGUCCUUCGCCUCCAUUGUCCAUGCUUUACAGCCCCUGCCUUCUCUGAACCGGUGUGUUUUUUGGGAGUUCUCUAACGAGGCACCUCCCAUCUCCCUGGGCCCAGAAUCGGUCCUUCCACCAUCACUCCAUGUUGAUUCUCGGAUGCACUUUAAUCCUAGUCAGUCAUUGGGCUUCUGAACGCCAGCCCUCCAGGACCCACCCGUUCCUUCCAAAAAUCAGCUCCAAACCUGGUGGGCAGGUUGCGUGACAUUUCAGCAUUGUUAUGAUGAUGAUGAUAAUGAUUGCUAUUAUUGGUGUUGUUCUUCUUCUUAAGUGAGAAGCGUCUUGCUGGCAUCUCUCCUGUGAGAUGGGCACCAGAGUAUGGGAGUCAGCCAAACCUCCCUUUCCCUCCAGAGUGCCUUAUGCUCAUGAAUGUCACCAGGAGGGGGGCUCAGCUCCAUCCUGCCUCCAAGACUUGCUACUCUCAGCAUCUUUUGUCAAAGCUGGGCCCAAAGUCUGGGGUCUUGGGAAGCUUUUCGCCCUUAUGAGGCCUGGGCGGUUGCGUGAAACUCAGAAUGGACACAUCGCUGGAGAGCUUGAAUCCCUCUUCAAACCGAAGCCAGUCCUGCAGAUGUGCAGGUUUGCCCGCGCGCAAGGGGCCCUCCUGCUUCCCACCCUGCUGUUCGCCAAACCGCAUGUGGUCUGAACUGUCCUCCGGAUUGUGGUCCGAACUGUCCUCCGGAUUGGGAAGCUCUGCUUUCCCCCAGGAAGCGGUUCCGGAGGUGGCUUCCUGCUCCACUUGGGUUUUCAACGCUACAUGGUUUGUAUAUCAAUAAAGAAUUAGUUGUUUUAA